UUCCAGAUAGCUUAAUGGUAAAGCUCCCAACCGGCAAUUGGGAGAUCUAGGUUCAAGUCCCAGUCCGGACU
rnacentral:tRNA from 1 species